GUGCCAGCCGCCGCGGUAAUACGUAGGGGGCAAGCGUUGUCCGGAUUUAUUGGGCGUAAAGAGCGUGUAGGCGGCCAGAUAGGUCCGUUGUGAAAACUCGAGGCUCAACCUCGAGACGCAGAUGGAAACCAUCUGGCUAGAGUCCGGAGGAGGAGAGUGGAAUUCUCGGUGUAGCGGUGAAAUGCGCAGAUAUCGGGAAGAACACCCGUGGCUAAGGCGGCACUCUAGUACGGUACUGACGCUGAGACGCGAAAGCGUGGGGAGCGAACAGGAUUAGAUACCCUAGUAGUCC
rnacentral:rRNA from 1 species